rnacentral:rRNA from 1 species
AGAGUUUGAUCCUGGCUCAGGAUAAACGCUGGCGGCGUGCAUUACCAAUGCGAGUUGAGCGCCUUUUCUUCGGAAAGGGAGCAGCGUCCGGGUGCGUAACACGUGGGUGACCUGCCGUGAUGUGGGGGAUACCCACCCGAAGGGGAGAUUAAUACCGCAUGAGCUUUCUGAUCUUGUUUGGAAAGCAAAGCCUGCAAGGGCGCAUUACGAGGGGCCCGCGGCCUAUCAGCUUGUUGGUGGGGUAACGGCCUACCAAAGCGACGACGGGUAGCCGGUCUGAGAGGACGGACGGCCACAGUGGGACUGGGACAUGGUCCACAGCUCUACGGGGUUUAGCAUGGAAGAAUCUUGCGCAACGGUCUAACGAUCGGCGCAGCAACGCCGCGUGGGGGACGACGCGUCUCGGCGUGUAAACCCCUGUUGCUCGGGAAGAAGUACUCGUGGGGAGAUCCUGCGAGGAAGACGGUACCGGGCGAGGAAGCACCGGCUAACUACGUGCCGGCAGCCGCGGUAAUACGUAGGGUGCGAGCGUUAUCCGGAUUUAUUGGGCGUAAAGGGUGCGCAGGCGGCCAUGGGCAGUGGCGCGUGGAAUCUCCCCGCUCACCGGGGAGGGGUCGCGCCAAACGACAUGGCUUGGAGCAGGCAGAGGAUCGCGGAACGGGCGGAGUAGGGGUGAAAUCCGUAGAGACCGUCCGGAACACCAGUGGCGAAGGCGGCGAUCUGGGCCUGAAGAUGGAGAAAUCCAUUUGAACUCGACGCUCGGGCACGAAAGCGUGGGGAGCGAACGGAAUCAGAUACUCCGGUAGUCCACGCCCUAAACGAUGUCGACUCGGUGUCGGGGGUAUCGACCCCUCCGGCGCCCCAGCAAACGCGGUAAGUCGACCGCCUAGGGACUACGGCCGCAAGGCUAAAACUCAAAGGAAUUGACGGGGGCCCGCACAAGCAGCGGAGCGUGUGGAUUAAUUCGAUGCAACGCGCAGAACCUUACCUAGGCUUGACAUGGCAUGUUCAUCCAUCGAAAGGUGGUGCCCGCAAGGGGAGUGUCACAGGUGCUGCAUGGCUGUCGUCAGCUCGUGCCGUGAGGUGUUGGGUUAAGUCCCGCAACGAGCGCAACCCCCGUCCCCAGUUGCCGUUUCUGGGGAGACUGCCGGGCGAACCCCGGAGGAAGGUGGGGAUGACGUCAAGUCCGCAUGGCCCUUACGUCUAGGGCUUCACACACGCUACAAUGGCCGGUACAGCGGGACGCCACUUCGCGAGAAGGAGCCAAUCCCCCAAAGCCGGCCCCAGUACGGAUCGUAGGCUGCAACUCGCCUGCGUGAAGUCGGAGUUGCUAGUAACCGCGCAUCAGCACAGUGCGGUGAAUGCGAUCCCGGGCCUUGUACACACCGCCCGUCACACCACGAAAGUCGGCAAGACUCGAACGCCGCGGGCUAACCCGCAAGGGAGGCAGCGACUGAGAGUCGGGUCGGUGAUUGGGGUGAAGUCGAAACAAGGUAGCCGUACGGGAACGUGCGGCUG